CCCCAGGCAAAUGCCAAUCAAAGCUUCCUUUGUUGGUGAUAUGUACAUUCCUCCAUGAGCUAUAAAGGAUGCUGGACCUCAUUUUGAUGCUUUUCCCAAUGUGGUUCUGGAACAUGGGAGUACACUGAUGAAGUCUGCAGGCGACACAGAAAGGCAUACAUCAACAUACAAGAGGACA